CACGUAGGGCGCAAGCGUUGUCCGGAAUUAUUGGGCGUAAAGAGCUCGUAGGCGGUCUGUUGCGUCUGCUGUGAAAACUCGGGGCUUAACCCCGAGCCUGCAGUGGAUACGGGCAGACUAGAGGUAGGUAGGGGAGACUGGAAUUCCUGGUGUAGCGGUGAAAUGCGCAGAUAUCAGGAGGAACACCGGUGGCGAAGGCGGGUCUCUGGGCCGUAACUGACGCUGAGGAGCGAAAGCGUGGGGAGCGAACAGG
rnacentral:rRNA from 1 species